GGAGCCUGCAGUGUUUCCCAGGCUACUUUGGGCACUGCCACAUGGGAAACUCUUCUCUACACAUGGUGCUUGAGAAGAAAUUAGCACUCCGUAGACACAGAAAGACUUGGGGAGAAAGGUUCUGAUGCCUGAAAACAAAGGUUUCUAGGUCCAGAUUCCCUUGGAAGCAAACUCUGAAGGACUCCGAGCAGAAUCAAGUCAUUCUACGUUCCUCACAAAGAUGGCUCCCUCAGGUAGCAAGCAAUUACUGGAAGUUUUUCAAAUAUGAAGGACCAUGGAAUCUAUUCAAAGCAAUCAGGACGAAAAAUCCUGCUCUCCAGGCCCAAGACCAAACAGUGGGGCAGUAAUCACUGUAUUUCCUCCCGGUCACUCAGUGGGUGCCUGAGCAGGCGUGGCCCCAUGGGAAGAAGAGCUGAUUUCCUGUAUAAACUAUAAAGUGACUUAGAUUCCAAUCUCUUGCCUCUGCCAGCUCAUAGAAGAAAAAGAGCAAAUGGAUAGAUUGUUUGCAGAAAGUGGCCUCAAUUACUCCCCCCACGUAUCCAUACCUGUUUGCAGGACGAUUCUGCAGUUCUUCCAAUUAAUGUCUAUUUUCCAAC